GACGAACGCUGGCGGCGUGCUUAACACAUGCAAGUCGAGCGGUAAGGCCCUUUCGGGGUACGACGAGCGGCGAACGGGUGAGUAACACGUGGGUGACCUGCCCUCCAGCUCUGGGAGUAAGCCUGGGAAACCGGGUCUAAUACUGGAUAUGACUCCAUGACGCAUGUUGUGGGGUGGAAAGCCUUGUGCGGCUGAGGAUGGGCCCGCGGCCUAUCAGCUUGUUGGUGGGGUGAGGCCUACCAAGGCGACGACGGGUAGCCGGCCUGAGAGGGCGACCGGCCACACUGGGACUGAGACACGGCCCAGACUCCUACGGGAGGCAGCAGUGGGGAAUCUUGCGCAAUGGGCGAAAGCCUGACGCAGCGACGCCGCGUGAGGGAUGACGGCCUGGUGUAA
rnacentral:rRNA from 1 species